rnacentral:rRNA from 1 species
CAAAUGACUCUCGGCAACGGAUAUCUCGGCUCUUGCAUCGAUGAAGAACGUAGCAAAAUGCGAUACUUGGUGUGAAUUGCAGAAUCCCGUGAACCAUCGAGUCUUUGAACGCAAGUUGCGCCUGAAACCAUUAGGUUGAGGGCACGUCUGCCUGGGUGUCACUC